GUCCUUGUCGAUUAGUGGUCAGAUCAUCACGUUGUGGAUACACAAUGCCGUGAAGACGGAGGCUCGAAUCCUCCCUGGGACA